UAUACGCAUAUAUAUAAUUUUCACCUCCGCAUAGCGCGGUAGGGGGGAGGGCAGUCCCCCCUCCGCCCCCCAAGCAUCAUCCACGGGAUUACGCGCCUGGCCGCGCUGCUGCAUCGCCUGCCGGACGGAGGGACCACGGCGGGGCUGCACAGGGGGUAUUUCCUUCUCUCCUCGUAUGGGGGGGGGAUGGUUUGGGGUUGGGGUCGGGAAGUGUGGGGAGCACGACACCCCUCAGCACCCCACGGGGGAGGGAGGGUGCAGUGGGGGCUGCGUCCCCCCUUUUCCACACCCUUUUCUCCCCCUUCGAGGGCUGGGGAGGGGGGAGCCGGGAUGGUUUAUCGGGGGGGGGGGUGUGCUCUGCCUGUGUUUCCCCCUCCCUCAAGUCGUACCCGGGUGACCUUUCAAAUCCAAGCCCCGCUCGUACCUACCGAGAUGCAUUGGCCAGCAAGGGCUGGGGGAUGAUGGGGAGGGGGGUGAUGCACCCGGGCUCCCCCACUCCCCCUGCCUCCCCCCUCCCUCCAUCCAUCCCUCCCUCCCUCCCUCCCUGCUCCCUCCCUCCCUCUCUCUGCUGCAUUUUGCAUGAGCUAUCUAGGUCAUUAGCAUUUUAGCGUAUGCAAGACUUGACAAAGCUGAUGAGAAGCCAGAUGGGCCCCUCUCCUCUUUUUUUUUUUGCACCACUUGGGAUCCGAGCGGAAGGACUGACUGCAGCCGGCGGUCGGGGGCAGGUUCCUACCGCUGCCCGGCCCCCCCCCAACCCCCGGCAGAGCAGAGCAGCGCGGCGGGGCUGGGGAAGGCGGCGGAGCGGGCAGCGGCGGGCAGAGCCGCGGGCAGGCCCCUCUCUCCGUGUUCACAGCGGACCUUGAUUUAAAUGUCCAUACAAUUAAGGCACGCGGUGAAUGCCAAGAACGAGGCUGACCAGCAUCGAGGCCGGAGGAGGCUCUCCGCACCCGCGGAACCCCCCGAACCCCUUUAAUCCCUCUACCCCCCACACCAGGCUCUGCCGCUCUGCGCACCGGCGCAGGUGGCACCCGCAGCGCGGAGGGGGGGGGGGGGGGGAAGGGGGGAAGAGGGAUGGGGAGGUCGGCACUUUUUGGGGGGUCCCGGGAAGAAAAGCGGGGUGGUCCCUGAGCGCAGAGGCACCCGGGGGAUGAAAUCCGGAGCUGUCACUCGGGGUGACCCGCGGGGGGAGAACGGGGGGUCUGCUGCUUUGUGCUUUGCCUUUUCUCUCCGCUUUUCUCGGCGGGAUGGUGGGGUUUUCCUUGCUAAAAGCAAGGGCAGGUCUUGGGGUCACCGGGGCUCACGCUGCUCCCGCGGUGGGGGGGUUGGGGGGGGGAGGUUAGGGCAAAGCCGCUUUUUUCUUUAUGUUUUUAAACCUUUAUUAUUAUUACCGCAUAUUUUUUUUCCGGUGGCUGUUUGUGUGUCUUUCCCCUCCACCCCCCACCCCCCCCCUUUAUUUCUCUUUUAAUCCUUAUAAUUUAAAUCAAAAGUGCCGGGGAGAAGAAGGGGGGAGCGCUGUGUCUGCAGGGCGAGGCCGGGAGUAAAUCUCUUGGAGGGAUAAACAUGUCAUUUGUUCCCUUUGUAUGGUAAUGUCUUGCUGCCCCCCCCCCCCCCCCCCCGGCAGCUGCCCCGGCCAUACAUCCUCCCUACAAAAGACCCCAAUUACCCAUCGACUGCCUCAUUAUACUCCUUACACAGCCCCGGCGAGAGGCGUGUGUGUGCGAGGAGCCGAGGGGAGUAGGGGAAGGAAGGGGAGGGGAGAAACAGCACCUGAAUUAUUCAAAAAAUAAAAUAAAAAUCAAGAAACUGGAAGCCCGUGGGGAGGGGGGUGCUGCGGGGGGGGAUGCUCCGACCCCGCGGCCUAAGCAGAGUGGGUACCCCGCAGAGCUGCCUGCAGCGCAGGGGCUGCUCCGCACCACCCUCCUGUCUGAUUUUCCCUUUCCUUUUUCAUGCUUUUCUUUUUAUUUCAUCUUUUCCCCUUCACCUUUUUAGCCAGAGAGGUGCCUGGGAGCCCAUCGCCAAACCCCUGCCCCACUCCCCGCUGGGGCCCUUCCCCUCCCUGCCUUUCUCCCAGCCCUUCACCUCCCUUCCCUUCUCUUUGCAGCUGGAGGCCAACCUGCCCCACAUGCCUGCAUCCCUACAUCCCUGCAUCCCUCCAUCCCCAUGUCAUCCCUCUACCCCAUGGCCAGUGCAUUGCUCCCAGCAGGUGCUUUGAACUGAGCAAGAACAGGCCUUACUGGAGGGGAUGGGGUAGCUGCACCCGGGCUGGGGGAGCCAGGAUGGUGGUGGUGGGGGCUCCAUCUCUCUUUGCAGCUCUGCAUGCAGACCCUCACGCAUGGGAAGGUGCCUGUGGGAGCAUUGACAGGAGCUCGGGGUCCCUGGGACGCAUCUUUGCACCCCGUCCCCGGGGUGCUGCAGGUAUUUCAGGGCAACCCUCCCUAGGCUUGCAUCCUGAGUGGUGUGGAUGUCACAAGGAGCCCUGUCGUGUCAUGCCUUGCCGUGCCAAUAAAGCUCUUUCGCUGCGGGCUCCUGCAUCCUCUCCUUUGUU